rnacentral:rRNA from 1 species
UACGGGGGGAGCAAGCGUUGUUCGGAUUUACUGGGCGUAAAGGGCGCGUAGGCGGCCACCGCAAGUCGACUGUGAAAUCUCCGGGCUUAACCCGGAAAGGUCAGCCGAUACUGCGGGGCUAGAGUGCAGAAGGGGCAACUGGAAUUCUCGGUGUAGCGGUGAAAUGCGUAGAUAUCGAGAGGAACACCUGCGGCGAAGGCGGAUCUCUGGGCCUGUCCUGACGCUCAGGCGCGAAAGCUAGGGGAGCAAACAGG